UCUACUGUUUAAAUGUAUUUUCUGUACAGUACUUUGUUCCUGUGCUGGGUGUUUUAAAGUGCUUUAUAAAUAAAUGAACUGAACUGACGUCUGCUGAUGUCAGGUUUAUUGAUGGGAUUUAUGGCUCUUUCAUGAGAGCCGUUCAUUAGUUGGUGUUGUGUGACGGGGUGAGUACUCCCUCUUCUCCACAACAUCUUUGUAAGACUGUCAUUCCAGGAGAGGGCACUCACCAGCUGCGGGGCAUUACCGAUCAGUGGCAGCUGCAGAUCCUCUAAUCAACCGCAGCAGAGCUCUAUUUAAGAGGAGAGGGAACCACUUCACAUCGCUGGAUGAUUAACUACUCACGGAUACUUGGAAUCAUUGAACCACUGAUGGAUGUACCUACCUGGAAGUCACCAUAACCCGCCUGGAUUACACACUCAAGGUUCACCUCUCCUCCUUCUUCACUUGCCCUCUGCCGCCAUCAUCUGGCUCCCUCUCCUGGACGCACCCCGUCACACCGUCUGCCCUCCCUGCUGGCUUUUGGACUCUUGCCGACUACUUCACACUUGGAUAUCUCCAGGACACUUUUAGUUAGGGUUAAUAAAUCAUUGUUUGAACUUUC